AAUCACGCUUACCGCAGAUGGUAUGUUUUGGGAUGUUUUUAUGUACAUCUGCCAUGUUUAAAACACUACAUCCUUUGGAAAGUACCUGAUAUCAGACACAGCAGAAAAACAAAAAACUGGCCCUAUGCGAAAUCUGCACAUUUGUGGCUAUAUGUGUAUAUUUCAAGACAAAAAUCAACAGCAACAACAACAACAACUGCUAAUUAUAGGGUUCUUCAUCAUGCACAGAUGGACUAUCGUUUUUCUUCUGAUAGUACAAGGCACGGGAUGCCUUUGAUGAUGCCAAUUCCAACAGGAUUAUGGGAUUUUGUAGGGCUUACACACAUACAGUUCAUACACCCUCACAUUCUGAAUAUACACACUGUUAUUCUUUAUUCUGAAUUCAGUCUUGAAGCCAUGGCUGCAAUCACAGACUAAUGGACUGGGCAUAAAGUCCACAGUUUCCUUAUCAAACCACGAACAGCACCCUGUUAGGUGGAAGCCUGUCCACAACACCUUGAGCAUCUCUUUCUCUGCUCACAAAGACCAAUGAAAACAUCUGUCCAUUAAUGUGAAAUCAACCUGGCGGCAUGAUUUAUUAAAUUUCUGGUAACAGAAUGACCUGUCAACCGUCUCUAUUGCCGUAUCGUUAAUGUUACGACAUUGGGGGCUUUUCAAAUCAAUGACACAGAGGCUCUGGAGGUGCGCUGUGAGAUGUGGAUUAAUUAAUUUUGUGUGCUAAUGCCUGAUUGUGAAUCAUCCCUGCAUUCUCAUUUGAGCUCUCCUCGAGAUAAUUUUGAAAAUCCUGUUUGGUGAUAAAGGUCUCUAAUCUGCAUGAAAAAUACAUUUUUAAAUGCAUUAUAUCAACGUUGCAGAGACACACAUUAUUCAAAUCCCCAAAUCAGGGAUUACAAAGAAUAGUGCCAAUCACCCUGUACUUAAACUGUGCCUCCAUAAUUGAGUAUUAGUCCAUAAUAUGCCAUAAUCUGCGUACAAAGCUAUGUGUGGAUUUAGAGAGAGAGAGAGAGAGAGAGAAAGAGAGCAAGGGAGGCUGUGGCUGAGUUAUUAUUACACUAAAUCUAAUCUAAUUCUACUCACACUGUAGUGAUGCGUGUUUGUGUUGUUCCAUCUCGCUUCUCUGAUUGGCUGAGAAGCAUCUGUUGAAUGUUGAUAGAAAACCUGCAUUAAAGAGAUAGUUCACCCAAAAAUUAGUCUUCUGUUUUCAUUUACUCAGCCUCAUGUUGAAUCAAACCUGUAGGUUUUCUCUUUUUUCUGUGGGAUACAAAUGACUUUCACUGUAUGAAUAAAAAUAUUCUUCUUUCUUCACCUUUUGUUUUGAUGUCCCUCACCAGAAAGAAAGUCAUACAGGUUUGGAACAAGAUUAGUAUGAGUAAAUCAUGACAGACAUGUCAUUUCUAGGUGAACUAUUCCUUUUAUUCUUUUGUGGUUGUCUUCCCCAAGAUGCGUAAGAAUGUAUAGAUGUAGCAUUCAUGGACCACUGAAGAGCGCCUGCCAGUGUGAAUUUCUACAUCAGAUGGUUUAAUGGCCAUUCUCAUAUGACUCAUAGGUUUCCUGUGGCGUGUUUUGCUGUGCCCUGCAGCUUGUGGACAUUUCUCUUGCUCUGAAUUUGAUGAUGUUGUCUGGUCGAUUGAUAGAGUUGUGACAUUUUCGCAGUUGUCUAUCAGCUGUAUCUUGACAACAUUACAUAGAAGGCUGAAGAAUCUUAUUUCUUUCUUAUUCUUUCUACCCCUAUCAGUCUUAUCUAUUUUUGGGGGGAAUUUAUCUAAGGAAAAAUUCCUUAGAUAAAUUUAUCUAGUCCUGUGAUGUGAAUCAGCUGGUGCGUUUAUCUGUCAGACUUUUUAACACCUAUAUUCCUCAAUAGCGCUAUUAUACACACAGACAUUUUAAAGAUAAAAAAUUUCACUAUUUGCAUAGUUGUGGAGCGAUAAGAAGCUCAUCAGAAACCUUGCCAAGUCAUGAACAGACACAUUUAUCUGUAAGAUCUGAGUAAGAUAUUACUUUUCUAAGCACUAUUAUGUGUUUUUAUGUCAGAUUUGAUGAAUGUUGAGUAACUGAAACAGAUUUUUUCCCCCUUUGUAAUUGCACUCACAACUGUAAUGAACAGAAGCCAAGGAUAUGUGGAU
rnacentral:lncRNA from 1 species